rnacentral:misc_RNA from 1 species
CAAAGAUUAAGCCUUCAUGUGACUACUGGUAGGAUC